rnacentral:lncRNA from 1 species
GUUCGAACCCCCUCUUAGCUUAUUUUAUCAUUUUUUUUGUCUGGCACCUGCAUACAUUGUUGAUACAUAAGUGCCAUCUCUUUACUCUUGCAAAUACAGUAAUUUUUUUUCAAUCUUAUACCCACACACAUGAGAGGGGAUAGAGAACCACUCCACCGCACAGCCUCACCGGCGUCGCGGUGACUGUCACCGCCGCCGCUGACAUGAAGAUUUAGGGUUCCGCCGUGACAGAGUGUGGCGAUGGUGUUGUUAGUUGUCACCGAAGGUCAGUAACUCUGGCCAAUCGACUCAAUGGUGUUUCUGUGCAACCAAAAUCGGCGCCGAUCAGGUGUCGUUUGUCUAAAGAUGCGACUUCAAUUGGGCGUGUUGAGAUGCGGUCUGAUGGUGGGGUCUCUAAGAUGUCUAUUUGGUGGCAUGGGCAUAUGGAUAUGGAUCACCAUAAUCAGCUCCAGUAGAUGGAUGUCCCGCUAACAUGGCCGAAUGAAACAGGUCGUUCGAUUUCACCUAUGACGUUUUGCUGGAAUUGUUACGUUCCAUGUUUUGUUGGUUCCGGUCCGGUUUCGACCCCAGCUUCAAGGCAAUUCACACGUGUAUUUCGAAGAAAGAUCAUAUCAAGAUCCAAUGUUUUUAAAAAUAAUGUGGUUUGAUUUUAUGAUUUGGUUUGUGUUUUGCCUAUUGAUACUUUUCUGUGAUAGAUGUUAUGUGUAAAUAGACCAUGUUCAUCUAUCUCAUUGGUUGGUCAUAAUAAAAGGCUUUACUGUGU